GAUUGAACGCUGGCGGCAUGCUUUACACAUGCAAGUCGAACGGCAGCGCGGGCUUCGGCCUGGCGGCGAGUGGCGAACGGGUGAGUAAUGCAUCGGAACGUGCCCAGUAGUGGGGGAUAGCCCGGCGAAAGCCGGCUUAAUACCGCAUACGACCUGAGGGUGAAAGCGGGGGACCGAAAGGCCUCGCGCUAUUGGAGCGGCCGAUGUCGGAUUAGCUAGUUGGUGGGGUAAAGGCUUACCAAGGCGACGAUCCGUAGCUGGUCUGAGAGGACGACCAGCCACACUGGGACUGAGACACGGCCCAGACUCCUACGGGAGGCAGCAGUGGGGAAUUUUGGACAAUGGGGGCAACCCUGAUCCAGCCAUGCCGCGUGCGGGAAGAAGGCCUUCGGGUUGUAAACCGCUUUUGUUCGGGAAGAAAUCCUCUGGGCUAAUACCCCGGGGGGAUGACGGUACCGGAAGAAUAAGCACCGGCUAACUACGUG
rnacentral:rRNA from 1 species